ensembl:lncRNA
GCCGUAUUGUCCCCGCGGCGCGCCGCGCGCUCGUCCAAGAUCGCCAGCGGCCCCCGCGCGCCUACCCACCCGGCUCCAGGAGCAAGCCGGGGGCGCCUAGGAAACCGUCGCCAGACGCCGCCGCCGCUGCCCUCCGGACGCCGCUGCGCUCCGGGUUUUUCUUUCCUUUUUUUUCCAAUCCUGAUGGGAAGGAAGGUGACCGCCUACUUCGCAUUCAUCAACUCUCAUCACAACAACAAAAAUCCUGGCGCAAAGGGCGGCCAGCAGGCGCAAUCGGUGGCGAGGGGCGGCGGGCGAUAACCCCCAGUCGGGCGUCCACCCCCGGGCGCAGCGCGUGGACACGGGGCCGGGGGCGCUGACCAAAGAUGUCCUCGGAUGCCGGCCCGGUGUCCUUCGCCCUCCUCCUCCCGGAGUGGCGCAGUGAGGCGCGGGCACGGCGCCCCAGCCAGCGGCCGCAGAUACUUCUCACUACAAAUCGGCUCUCUCCAGGGAUUAGCGGCUACGCGAAAGUGCAUACUGGCGCUGCGGGCAAUCGAGGGGGCCGGGCAAGGCAGGCACUCCCCAGCCCAGCCCCAUGCCACCCGGGAGGCGCGGGGGUCCCGAGGCCGGUGCGGUGAUUCCACCCGCCCUAGCCUUCCUCCUCCGCCCCUUCCACGUGGGGCCCGCCACGUGGGGAGACGCGAGCUCCAGCGGGCCUGGCCGCGGUCCCCCGGGUGGCCCCGGCUCGGUAGGGCCCCACCACGCCCGCGCAGCAGACCUGCCCUCUACUCGGCCCCGAGGCUCCAACUUCCUCCUGGGCCCUGCGCAGGCCACCGGUGCCGUCCCAGGCCCGCGAGGUCAGGCGCGGGCCGGCCACAGGGGGCACUUGCGUUCCCCGAUCCCAGAUCCGGGAGACCGUGCCGGCUGCGGGUGCGCGCGGAGACUGUUCUGUGUGCUGGAACUUGCCGCGGUGUGUUCGCUAUGAGAAGCCAAGUGUUUUUACAUAUUUUUUUAAAAAAAAUGUCUUUCUACUGUCUGUAUGUCGCUGGGGCUAUUUUGAAAGCCUUGCCUUGGGUCGGAUCCCCAGCAUGAGGCCUUGGGGGUCCGAGGGUCGCUUGCGCGGUGCCCUUUCACGAGUCCACUAGUGUCUCGGUGUUCUGCGUUUGGAAUCUGGACUCCCAACGAUGAUGGGCCACUUCGGCUGCGCGGGACUAGACAGCAUCUGGGCUGGAUUCCUUGGCCAUGACCUGCGACAUCCGAGCGCUGUCCCCGGAAGGGAGCCAGCUCCUUCGCCCAGGGCCUCCUAAGCUUACUAACCAGACUAGGUGGGAGGCUUCUAAGGACCACAGGGGCGCUGAGUAGUGCCCUUGGGUGCAAUUGUUUUUAAAUCUUUUGUGGGUGCUAGCGACUUGAGAUGUUGGGCUGAAUGAUCGAGAGGAGGGGUCUAAUGUCACAGCUUUGAAGGCCACAGAGAGUGCCAUUCAGAGAGCCACUUUGAGUGGUGUGGCCUUCUACAGACUGAAGAAAUUUAUAGCGUAUAUGGGCCGCUUGAGGCCUCCAAGCCCCUGGACCCAUCGCUGUGCGUUCUGGAGAGCACUUUAUCUGGGCCUGUUUGCUAAAGUGCACAGAUGUUGCCCGCAAGACCGGCGAUGUUGGGUUUCUAUGAUCGUUUUGUAGUCAAACUGGUUUUAAAAUAGUUUACAGAUUUUUCUGAAUGGCAACGCGGUAACGGUCUCUCUCAAAUAUAAUAUGAUAGUUUUUACGUGGCCCUAAUAGGCUUGGGGCUGAUCAGUCAUGAAGUAGCUCACCAUCCUGAUUUCUGUGAGAGAAUUCACAGGUGUGCACCUACCCUUGACCCCUCCAUCUUCUUUGUAUUCUUACGGAUUCCUCUAAAGGAAUCCAGCAGCUUCACUUCAAGGUCGUGGGGCCCUAGACCUACUUGUAAACUGACCUUGUCAUACCUCAGGCUCCUGUGCUACCAGUUCCUGCUUUGUGAGUUCCUUGAUCCUAAACUAUGGUAAUGAAAGCUCCUGCUUCUUUGUGUCUCAUAUCUUUGCCCUUUGUGGUCCUCUAUUACCAAGAAACCACAGCCAGCUGGCUUUUCCUAUUGCUUGUUCAGCUUUCCUCCAGUGUAAUUUUGAAUUCUACUUUAGAAAUACUAUGGUGGGCCCUGUGGAGUGGCUCAGCCAGCAAUGAUGCUGUCAAGCCCCAGGAUGUGAGUUCAUUCCCUAACACCUAGUAAAAGUAAGAGUGGACUAAGUUGUCCUCAGAUCCCUGCACAUGUUUCACACAUCACACAACCAAUAAGAAAAAAACUAACCUUUUAUGAAUUCAGAACUUUAAAUUAUUUCGAACUUCUGUCUGACAGCCUGCAUUUUAAAGUAUGGAGCCCAGGCUGGUGGAAGUAGUGCAGAGAGCAGAACACUGGCUUAUAUGAGGUCCGAGGUUCAUCCCUUGCUCCUGGGGACAGAGGAAUCUCAACCCAGGUGAUGUUACACAGGUCUUCUGACACCCCCAUACCGGCAUACAUGCAGGCAAAACACCAAUGAACAUAAAAUAAGCCUUUAAUCCCAGCACUCAAGAGGCAGAGACAAUUGGAUCUCUGCGAGUUUGAGGCCAGCCUGGUCUGCAGAACAAGUUCCAGAACAGUCUCCAAAGCUACAGAGAAAUGAUGUCUCGAAGAACCAAAAAUAAAUAAAUAAAUAUUAAAAAAAUAAAUGUAAAUCCAGUUAUCA